rnacentral:rRNA from 1 species
AAGUAUUCCCGUAGUAGCGGCGAGCGAACGGGGACUUGCAAGUUCAAUGCUAAAUCUGAGGGUCUUUGUACCGUACGAGCUGUAGCGUUGAUGAGACUCCGCCAAAGGUCUGUGUUAUAGAGCUUACUAAAGUAUUUCAUGAACGGGUCACAUAUCCAUAGAGGGUGACAGACCCGUAAAGUAGGUUCGCCAAACACAUUGACUUGGAGCUUCUCAGACGAGUCGAGUUGCUUGAGAGUGCAACUCAAAUUGGGUGGUAAACUUCACCUAAAACUAAAAAUGACCACGAGACCGAUAGAGAACAAGUACCGUGAGGGAAAGUUGAAAAGAACUCUGAAGAGAGAGUUCAAGAGUACGUGAAACCGUUUAGAGGUAAGCCUAAGGGACUGAACGCUAUCACUAUGUAGAUUCAAACGUGUGUUAGUGCCCGGCCGGGUCGCCGCCAACCAGACAGUCUCGGCUGUUUGAGGGGGCGCGCCCGCGUCGACUAGUGCACUGCACACGGCUGCAACUCUAUAAGUGCGAAGGUAUCGUAGUACGUUGACGACCUGACAUGGCCAGGCAUCUAGUCCACACAUUACAAUUGCUCUUGUAGUCGUUGUGUGCGUGGAGGCUUGUGCGCUAUGAGUCAGUGUGUAUCGACGGUAACUGAGAUAGAGUACACGAACUAUGGCUACGUCCAUGCCUAUGCAAAUUAGGCGUUCUGUACGCGCAAUAAUAUCGAUACUAGUUUAAGUACCCUAAGGACCCGUCUUGAAACACGGACCAAGGAGUCCAGCACUACAGCGAGUCAUUGGGACCUACAAAGCCUAUUGACGCAAUGAAAUUAACUUUAUACACUGAAUUAGUUGUGUGCCCAUGUGGCAUGCUACGCAGUAAAGAGGUGUCUCGAGCUCAUUGCGAGCUGGGAUGCACUUAGAGUUGUAGUGCUGGCACCCGAAAGAUGGUGAACUAUGCCUGAUGAGAACGAAGUCAGGAGAAAUUCUGAUGGAAGUUCGCAGCAGUUCUGACGUGCAAAUCGAUUGUCAGACUUGGGUAUAGGGGCGAAAGACCAAUCGAACCGUCUAGUAGCUGGUUCCUUUCGAAGUUUCCCUUAGGAUAGCUGGCACUAGCAGAGAUUAGUUUUAUCUGGUAAAGCGAAUGAUUAGAGGCAUUGGGACCGAAACGGUUUCAACCCAUUCUCAAACUUUAAAUGGGUAAGAACUAUAGCUUAUUUGAUACAUAAAGCUAUAGACUCACUAGAAUGAUAGUGCCUAGUGGGCCACUUUUG